rnacentral:rRNA from 1 species
GACGAACGCUGGCGGCGCGCCCGACACAUGCAAGUCGAACGGGAUCUUUUAGGAAAGCUUGCUUUCUUGGCUGAUCUAGUGGCGGACGGGUGAGUAACACGUGAGCAACCUGCCGAGAAGAGGGGGAUAACCCGUGGACACGGGCGAUAACACCGCAUAAUCUAUCGAGACGGCCUCGUUUUGGUAGCAAAGGAGAAAUCCGCUUUUUGAUGGGCUCGCGGCCGAUUAUGUAGUUGGUGAGGUAAGGGCUCACCAAGCCGACGAUCGGUAGCCGGACUGAGAGGUUGAACGGCCACAUUGGGACUGAGACACGGCCCAGACUCCUACGGUAGGCAGCAGUGGGGGAUAUUGCACAAUGGGGGAAACCCUGAUGCAGCGACGCCGCGUGAGUGAAGACGGCCUUCGGGUUGUAAAGCUCUGUUGACGGGGACGAUAAUGACGGUACCCGUCGAGGAAGCCACGGCUAACUACGUGCCAGCCGCCGCUGUAACAC